rfam:Brassica napus, WGS project CCCW01000000 data, contig: 31251
GGAAUAUAAGAACCUAUCUCUUAAUUCUUAAUUAAAAAAGCUAAGAACUGGUUCUUAAAUAAGAGUUUUAAGAGUCUUUUAACUUUUAACUAAAAAAUUUAAGGACCGGUUCUUAGCUUUUUUAGUUAAAAGUUAAGAGACGGGUUCUUAUAUUCC